rnacentral:rRNA from 1 species
CCCUACGGGGCGCAGCAGUGAGGAAUAUUGGUCAAUGGGCGCGAGCCUGAACCAGCCAAGUCGCGUGAGGGAUGACGGUCCUACGGAUUGUAAACCUCUUUUGCCGGGGAGCAAGCGUGCGUUCGUGAACGCGCGUCGAGAGUACCCGGAGAAAAAGCAUCGGCUAACUCCGUGCCAGCAGCCGCGGUAAUACGGAGGAUGCGAGCGUUAUCCGGAUUUAUUGGGUUUAAAGGGUGCGUAGGCGGGCUUUUAAGUCAGCGGUAAAAAUUCGGGGCUCAACCCCGUCCGGCCGUUGAAACUGGGGG